rnacentral:rRNA from 1 species
GAUGAACGCUGGCGGCGUGCCUAAUACAUGCAAGUCGAGCGAACAGACGAGGAGCUUGCUCCUCUGACGUUAGCGGCGGACGGGUGAGUAACACGUGGAUAACCUACCUAUAAGACUGGGAUAACUUCGGGAAACCGGAGCUAAUACCGGAUAAUAUAUUGAACCGCAUGGUUCAAUAGUGAAAGACGGUUUUGCUGUCACUUAUAGAUGGAUACGCGCCGCAUUAGCUAGUUGGUAAGGUAACGGCUUACCAAGGCAACGAUGCGUAGCCGACCUGAGAGGGUGAUCGGCCACACUGGAACUGAGACACGGUCCAGACUCCUACGGGAGGCAGCAGUAGGGAAUCUUCCGCAAUGGGCGAAAGCCUGACGGAGCAACGCCGCGUGAGUGAUGAAGGUCUUCGGAUCGUAAAACUCUGUUAUUAGGGAAGAACAAAUGUGUAAGUAACUAUGCACGUCUUGACGGUACCUAAUCAGAAAGCCACGGCUAACUACGUG